rnacentral:rRNA from 1 species
AUACAGAGGGUGCAAGCGUUAAUCGGAUUUACUGGGCGUAAAGCGCGCCUAGGUGGCUAAUUAAGUCAAAUGUGAAAUCCCCGAGCUUAACUUGGGAAUUGCAUUCGAUACUGGUUAGCUAGAGUAUGGGAGAGGAUGGUAGAAUUCCAGGUGUAGCGGUGAAAUGCGUAGAGAUCUGGAGGAAUACCGAUGGCGAAGGCAGCCAUCUGGCCUAAUACUGACACUGAGGUGCGAAAGCAGGGGGAGCAAACAGGAUUAGAUACCCUGGUAGUCCAUGCCGUAAACGAUGUCUACUAGCCGUUGGGGCCCUUGAGGCUUUAGUGGCGCAGCUAACGCGAUAAGUAGACCGCCUGGGGAGUACGGUCGCAAGACUAAAACUCAAAUGAAUUGACGGGG